rnacentral:rRNA from 14 species
GUUUGAUCCUGGCUCAGGACGAACGCUGACGGCGUGCCUAACACAUGCAAGUCAAGGGGCCUUCGGGUCACUGGCGCACGGGUGAGUAACGCGUAGGUAACGUGCCUUGUAGUGGGGGACAACACCGGGAAACCGGUGCUAAUACCGCAUAAGCAAGUAAUUGGAAAGGUGGCUUCGGCUAUCGCUACAAGAUCGGCCUGCGUGACAUUAGCUUGAUGGUGGGGUAAUGGCCUACCAUGGCGACGAUGUCUAGCUGGUCUGAGAGGAUGAUCAGCCACA